rnacentral:snRNA from 1 species
AAGCAUAUCAAUAAGCGGAGGAAAAGAAA